AGUGGCGAACGGGUGAGUAACACGUGAGUAACCUGCCCUUAACUCUGGGAUAAGCCUGGGAAACUGGGUCUAAUACCGGAUAUGACUCCUCAUCGCAUGGUGGGGGGUGGAAAGCUUUAUUGUGGUUUUGGAUGGACUCGCGGCCUAUCAGCUUGUUGGUGAGGUAAUGGCUCACCAAGGCGACGACGGGUAGCCGGCCUGAGAGGGUGACCGGCCACACUGGGACUGAGACACGGCCCAGACUCCUACGGGAGGCAGCAGUGGGGAAUAUUGCACAAUGGGCGCAAGCCUGAUGCAGCGACGCCGCGUGAGGGAUGACGGCCUUCGGGUUGUAAACCUCUUUCAGUAGGGAAGAAGCGAAAGUGACGGUACCUGCAGAAGAAGCGCCGGCUAACUACGUGCCAGCAGCCGCGGUAAUACGUAGGGCGCAAGCGUUAUCCGGAAUUAUUGGGCGUAAAGAGCUCGUAGGCGGUUUGUCGCGUCUGCCGUGAAAGUCCGGGGCUCAACUCCGGAUCUGCGGUGGGUACGGGCAGACUAGAGUGAUGUAGGGGAGACUGGAAUUCCUGGUGUAGCGGUGAAAUGCGCAGAUAUCAGGAGGAACACCGAUGGCGAAGGCAGGUCUCUGGGCAUUAACUGACGCUGAGGAGCGAAAGCAUGGGGAGCGAACAGGAUUAGAUACCCU
rnacentral:rRNA from 1 species